rnacentral:rRNA from 1 species
AUGGAGCCAAUCCAUAACGUGCAAAUGCACAUGUCCCAUGGAGGAUUUGGUACACCGAAAAACAACACAAACAUACCUCUUUCUUGUACGUCUUUUACACCUGAAUGUGAUGAGCAUCUGAAGCCUAAAGUAGGGUUAGUGAGGGCAAAGAAUACUUUAUAUACAUGUCAUAAGGCAAGCAUUGGAACCUCCCGAGCAUACAGGCUAUUACAAGUUAGUGAGGGUGAGAUUCCGAAUGUUGGGUGCCUCAAGAGGGACUUGCAGAAUUACUACCGCGGACUCAAGUAUAAAAUCAGAGAUGCGGAUGCUCAAAUGUUUGUGGCCCAACUAGCUAGAAAGAAGGAAGUGAAUUCAGCAUUUUUCUAUGAUUUUGAUGUGGAUGAUGAGGGGAAGUUGAUGCAUGUAUUUUGGGCCGAUGCCACAAGUAGGAAGAACUAUAGUCACUUUGGUGAUGUGCUAUCCUUUGAUUCUGCGUACACCAUUAAUCAUUACAACAUGAUAUUUACAUCAUUUACAAGGGUCAAUCAUCACUUACAAAGUGUAUUUUUUGGUGCCGAAUUCUUAGCUGAUGAGAAGAAUGAGUCGUACAUUUGGUUAUUUCAGACCUUCCUAAGAGCAAUGGGAGGGGCAGCACCUACACUCAUCAUAACCAAUGAAGCCGCUAGCAUCAAGAAUGGUAUUGAUGAAGUUCUUCCAACCACUGUGCAUAGGUUGUGCAUGUGGCAUAUAAUGGAAAAGGUGCCCGAAAAGGUUGGACCUUUGAUUAGAGAAGAUUUUGAAUUUUGGACAAGAUUGAACUCAUGUGUUUGGGGCUCAGAAACUCCAACUGAGUUCGAGUCACAAUGGAAUUCCAUCAUUACAGGUUUUGGGUUGGAGGAAAAUGAGUGGUUGGCUAAGAGUUUUAGCAUCUGA